CACCGAGAAAGAACCCGACCCGAUUUGCCUACCUACCUGGUAGUCCCCAACGACUCUACUCCUUCCUGGCGCUUGAGCCAUAGUUGAGAAGAAAUCAGUAAAACCCUAGGAUCCGAACCCGAAACCAGCUGAAUUCAAGGUUGAAGACGAGCUAGCUCUGUUCGUUAAAUUCUAAGAAUGGAUUGUUUUUGAAGAUUCGACCCAA
rnacentral:misc_RNA from 1 species